UUGACCCCUUUUGAAACACGGACCAAGGAGUCUAUCAUGUGCACGAGUCAUUGGGCACACUAAACCCAAAGGCGAAGUGAAAGCAAAGGUAUUUGUUUGAAAUACCGAGGGCUGAUCCCGUCGUUACCGGCGGGCGCAGGCUCGGGACUUGCACUGCCCAUUGUGGUAGGCGAGUACCUAGAGUGUACCUGGUAGUACCCGAAAGAUGGUGAACUAUGCCUGGCCAGGAUGAAGCCAGAGGAAACUCUGGUGGAGGUCCGUAGCGAUUCUGACGUGCAAAUCGAUCGUCGGAGCUGGGUAUAGGGGCGAAAGACUAAUCGAACUAUCUAGUAGCUGG
rnacentral:rRNA from 1 species